rnacentral:rRNA from 1 species
GAUGAACGCUGGCGGCGUGCCUAAUACAUGCAAGUCGAGCGAAUGGAUUAAGAGCUUGCUCUUAUGAAGUUAGCGGCGGACGGGUGAGUAACACGUGGGUAACCUGCCCAUAAGACUGGGAUAACUCCGGGAAACCGGGGCUAAUACCGGAUAACAUUUUGAACCGCAUGGUUCGAAAUUGAAAGGCGGCUUCGGCUGUCACUUAUGGAUGGACCCGCGUCGCAUUAGCUAGUUGGUGAGGUAUCGGCUCACCAAGGCAACGAUGCGUAGCCGACCUGAGAGGGUGAUCGGCCACACUGGGACUGAGACACGGCCCAGACUCCUACGGGAGGCAGCAGUAGGGAAUCUUCCGCAAUGGACGAAAGUCUGACGGAGCAACGCCGCGUGAGUGAUGAAGGCUUUCGGGUCGUAAAACUCUGUUGUCAGGGAAGAACAAGUGCUAGUUGAAUAAGCUGGCACCUUGACGGUACCUAACCAGAAAGCCACGGCUAACUACGUGCCAGCAGCCGCAGUAA